rnacentral:ncRNA from 1 species
GUGUUGUAUGAAAGGAGAGAAGGUUAGCACUCCCCUUGACAAGGAUGGAAGAGGCUCUCGGGCCUAACAACACGCAUACGGUUAAGGCAUUGCCACCUACUCUUAGAAAGAGACCAUGGAAGAAAGGAAAGCUUGGUUUUAU